UAGGAAAAAAAAAAAAAUAUAUAUAUAUAUAUAUAUAUAAAACACCAAAUUUACCUGAAGGUGGAAAUGGAAGUUGUUAUAUGAAGUAUGAUGUUGCUGUGUGCUCUAAUUUGUUCUGCUUUGAGAAAAUAAAUAAAUAAAUAAAUAAAUAAAUAAAUAAAUAGAUUUACAGGAUCAGUGAUAAGUAUCAGUGAAAGGGCUUUUUUUUUUUUUUCUUGUCCUUCCUAGCUGUCUGCAGACUGAGCUCUCCUCUCUGUACUUGGUUGAACAGUUCAUUUCAAGACAAAUUAUCUACAGUUACCACUUCUUUCAGGCACCAAGUUCAAGAGCAGUGAAACCUUAGGUUCCCCUCCCAAGCCAUGGAAAAGAAAGAAUAUUCCCUGGAAAUUAUUCUGUGCUAUGACAACAAAAAUCAGUCUGUUCUAGAGGUUUCUUUUGCACAGUUCUGACUUGAUGUUACUUCUCCAUAAAAAUUUAAUGGUUUACACGCCAUCCUAGCCUAUAUUUUUUAUUUAUUUUAUCCCCAACACUUUUUAAAUAAUAAAGUAAGGACAGAUUGCCUUACUGCA
rnacentral:lncRNA from 1 species